rnacentral:rRNA from 1 species
GAUGAACGCUGGCGGCGUGCCUAAUACAUGCAAGUCGAGCGAACGGACGAGAAGCUUGCUUCUCUGAUGUUAGCGGCGGACGGGUGAGUAACACGUGGAUAACCUACCUAUAAGACUGGGAUAACUUCGGGAAACCGGAGCUAAUACCGGAUAAUAUUUUGAACCGCAUGGUUCAAAAGUAAAAGACGGUCUUGCUGUCACUUAUAGAUGGAUCAGCGCUGCAUUAGCUAGUUGGUAAGGUAACGGCUUACCAAGGCAACGAUGCAUAGCCGACCUGAGAGGGUGAUCGGCCACACUGGAACGGAGACACGUUCCAGACUCCUACGGGAGGCAGCAGUAGGGAAUCUUCCGCAAUGGGGGAAAGCCUGACGGAGCAACGCCGCGUGAGUGAUGAUGGUCUUCGGAUCGUAAAACUCUGUUAUUAGGGAAGAACAUAUGUGUAAGUACCUGUGCACAUCUUGACGGUACCUAAUCAGAAAGCCACGGCUAACUACGUG